AACCCCCAUUUUUGUCAUAAAUAGCAUGAACGACCAUUUCCAAUAAUACCGAAGGCUAACACCAACGGAUUUUUCACCAAGAAAUGGUCUCCACCAGAAAUCCAAGAAUGUGAUCUAUGGCAAGGAAACAUAUGUGGAGUGAGGUGUACGAGCCUCUAGUUGAUGAUCAAAGGCCACACAACCCCUAUUUUUGUCAAAAAUAGCAUGAACGACCAUUUUCAAUAAUACCGAAGGCUAACACCUACGAAUUUUUGACCAAGAAAUGGUCUCCACCAGAAAUCCAAGAAUGUGAUCUAUGGCAAAGAAACAUAUGUGGGGUGAGGUGAACGAGCCCCUGGUCAAUUAUGAAUGGCCACACGACCCCCAUUUUUGUCGAAAAUAUCCAUGAACGACCAUUUUCAAUAAUACCAAAGGCUAUAGAUUUUUGACCAAGAAAUGGUCUCCACCAGAAAUCCAUGAAUGUGACCUAUGGCAAGGAAACAUAUGUGGGGUGAGGUGUAUGAGUAAAUGGUCGAUGAUCAAUGGCCACAUAACCCCCAUUUUUGUCGAAAAUAGCAUGAACGACCAAUUUCAAUAAUAACGAAAGCUAACAACUAUGGAUUUUUGACCAAGAAAUGGUUUCCAUAAAAAAAAUCCAAGAAUGUGAUAUAUGGCAAGAAAACAUACGUGGGGAGAAGUGUACGUGCCUCUGGUCGAUGAUCAAUGGCCGCAGAACCCCCAUUUUUGUCCAAAAUAGCAUGAACGACCAUUUUCAAUAAUACCGAAGGCAAACAACUAUAGAUUUUUGACCUAGUAAUGGUCUCCACCAAAAAUCCAAGUAUGUGAUCAAUGGCAAGGAAACAUAUGUGGGGUGAGGUGUACAAGCCACUAGUCGAUGGUCAAUGGCCACACAACCCGCAUUUUUGUCGAAAACAACCAGGAACGACCAUUUUCAAUAAUACCGAAGGCUAACACAUACGGAUUUUUGACCAAGAAGUUGUCUCCACCAAACAUAUGUGAGGUGAGGUGUACGAGCCUCUGGUCGACGAUCAAUGGCCACACAACCCCCAUUUUUGUCGAAAAUAGCCAUCAACGACCAUUUUCAAUAAUACCGAAGGCUAACACCUACGGAUUUUUGACCAACAAAUGGUCUCCACCAGAAAUGCAAGAAUGUGAUCUAUGGCAAGGAAACAUAUGUGGGGUCAUGUGUACGACCCUACGGUCGAUGAUCAAUGUCCAAACAACCCUCAUUUUUUCAAAAAUAGCAUGAACGCCCAUUUUCAAUUAUAACAAAGGCUAACGCCUACGUAUUUUUGACCAAGAAAUGGUCUCAACUAGAAAUCUAAGAAUGUGAUCUAUGGUAAGGAAACAUAUGUGGGAUGAGUUUUAUGAUCCUAUGGUCGGUGAUCAAUGGCCACACAACACCCAUUUUUGUCGAAAAUAGCUAUGAACGACCAUUUUCAAUAAUACCAAAGGCUAACACCUACAAAUUUUUGACCAGGAAAUGGUCUCCACCAGAAAUCCAAGGAUGUGACCUAUGGCAAGGAAACAUAUGUGGGGUCAGGUGUACGAGCCUCUGUUCGAUGGUCAAUGGUUACACAACGCCCAUUUUUGUCAAAAAUCGAAUGAACGACCAUUUUCAAUAAUACCGAAGGCUAACACCUACGAAUUUUUGACAAAGAAAUGGUCUCCACCAGAUAUCCAAGAAUGUGAUCUAUGGCAAGGAAACAUAUGUGGGGUUAGGUGUUUGAGCCUCUGGUCGAUGAUCAAUGGCCACACAAACCCCAUUUUGUCGAAAAUAGCCACGAACUACCAUUUUCAAUAAUACCGAAGGCUAACACCUAUGGAUUUUUGACGAAGAAAUGGUCUCCACCAGAAAUCCAAGAAUGUGAUCUAUGGCAAGGAAACAUAUGUGGGUGAGGUGUACGAGCCUCUAGAAAAGGACCAAUGCCCACACAACCGCCAUUUUUGUCGAAAAUAGCAUGAACGACCAUUUUCAAAAAUGCCGAAGGCUAACACCUAUGGAUUUUUGACCAAGAAAUGGACUCCACCAAAAAUCCAAGAAUCUGACCUAUGGCAAGGAAACAUAUGUGGGGUGAGGUGUACCUCCUUUGGUCGAUGAUCAGUGGCCACACAACUCCCAUUUUAGUCAGAAAUAGCCAUGAACGACCAUUUUCAAUAAUACCGAACGCUAACAUCUACGGAUUUUUGACCAAGAAAUGGUCUGCACCAGAAAUCCAAGAAUGUGACCUACGUUAAGGAAUUAUAUGUGAGGUGAGGUGUACAAGCCUCUGGUCGAUGAUCAAUGGCCACACAACCCCCAUUUUUGUCAGAAAUAGCCAUCAACGACCAUUUUCAAUAAUACCGAAGGCUAACACCUAUGGAUUUUUGACCAAGAAAUGGUCUCCACCAGAAAUCUGAGAAUGUGAUCUAUGGCAAGGAAACAUUUGUAGGGUGAGGUGAACGAGCCUCUGGUCAAUGAUCAAUGGCCACACAACCCCCAUCUUUGUCGAAAAUAGCCAUGAACGACCAUUUUCAAUAAUACUGAAGGCUAACACCUACGGAUUUUUGACCAAGAAAUGGUCUCCACCAGAAAUCCAAGAAUGUGACCAAUGGCAAGGAAACAUAUGUGAGGUGAGGUGUACGAGCUUCUGGUCGAUGAUCAAUGGCCAAACAACCCCCAUUUAUGUCGGAAAUAGCCAUGAACGACCAUUUUCAAUAAUAUCGAAGGCUAACACCUACAGGUUUUUUGACAAAGAAAUGGUCUCCACUAGGAAUCCAAGAAUGUGAUCUAUGGCAAGGAAACAUAUGUGGGGUGUGGAGUACGAGCCUCUAGUCAUUGAUCAAUGGCCACACAACCCCCAUUUUUGUCGAAAAUAGCAUGAACAACCAUUUUUAAUAAUACCGAAGGCUAACACCAACGAAUUUUUCACCAAGAAAUGGUCUCCACCAGAAAUCAAAAAAUGUGAUCUAUGGAAAGGAAACAUAUGUGGGGUCGGGUGUAUGAUCCUCUGGUCGAUGAUCAAUGGCCACACAACCAUCAUUUUGUCGAAACUAGCAUGAACGCCCAUUUUCAAUAAUACCAAAGGCUAACACCUAUGGAUUUUCGACCAAGAAAUGGUCUCCACUAGAAAUCCAAGAAUGUGAUCUAUGGCAAGGAAGCAUAUGUGGGGUGAGGUGUAUGAGCCUCUGGUCGACGAUCAAAGGCCACACAACCACAUUUCUGUCAAAAUAACAUGAACGACCAUUUUCAAUAAUACUAAAGGCUAACACCAACUGAUUUUUCACCAAGAAAUGGUCUCCACCAGAAAUCCAAUAAUGGGAUCUAUGGCAAGGAAACAUAAGUGGGGUGAGGUGUACGAUCCUCUAAUUGAUGAUCAAAAGCCACGCAACCCCUAUUUUUGUCGAAAAUAACAUGAACGACCAAUUUCAGUAAUACCGAAGGCUAACACUUAAGGAUUUUUGACCAAGAAAUGAUCUCCACUAGAAAUCCAAGAAUGUGAUCAAUGGCAAGGAAACAUAUGUGGGGUGAAGUGAACAAGCCUCUGGUCAAUGAGCAAAGGACACACAACCCCCAUUUUUGUCAAAAAUAGCCAUGAACGACCAUUUUCAAUAAUACUAAAGGCUAACACCUACGGAUUUUUGACCAAAAAAUGGUCUCCAUAGGAAAUCCAAGAAUGUGAUCUAUGGCAAGGAAAGAUAUGUGGGGUGAGGUGAAUGAGCCUCUGGUCAAUGAUCAACGGCCACACAACCCCCAUUUUUGUCGAAAAUAGCCAUGAACGACCAUUUUCAAUAAUACUGAAGGCUAGCACCUACGGAUUUUUGACCAAGAAAUGGUCUCCACCAGAAAUGCAAAAAUGUGACGUAUGGCAAGGAAACAUAUGUGGGGUGAGGUGUAUGAUCCUCUGGUCGAUGAUCAAUGGCCACACAACCCCCAUUUUUGUCAGAAAUAGCCAUGAACGACCAUUUUCAAUAAUACCAAAGACUAACGCCUACGGAUUUUUUGACCACGAAAUGGUCUCCACCAGAAAUCCAAUAAUGUGAUAUAUGGCAAGGAAACAUAUAUGGGGUGAGGUGAACAAGACUCUGGUUAAUGAUCAAUGGCCACACAACCCCACUUUUGUCGAAAAUAGCCAUGAACGAGCAUUUUCAAUAAUACCGAAGGCUAACACCUACGGAUUUUUGACCAAGAAAUGGUCUCCACCAGAAAUGCAAGAAUGCAUCCUAUGGAAUGGAAACAUAUGUGGGGUGAGGUGAACGAGCCCCUGGUCGAUGAUCAAUGGCCACAGAACCCCCAUUUUUGUCGGAAAUAGCCACAAACGACCAUUUUCAAUAAUACCGAAGGCUAACACCUAAGGAUUUUUGACCAAGAAAUGGUCUCCACCAAAAAUCCCAGAAUGUGAUCUAUGGCAAGGAAACAUAUGUAGGGUGAGGUGAACGAGCCUCUGGUCAAUGAUCAAUGGCCACACAACCCCCAUCUUUGUCGAAAAUAGCCAUUAAGGACCAUUUUCAAUAAUAUCGAAGGCUAACACCUACGAAUUUUUGACCAAGAAAUGAUCUCCACCAGAAAUCCAAGAAUGUGACCUAUGGCAAGGAAACAUAUGUGGGGCGAGGUGUAUGACCCUCAGGUCGAUGAUCAAUAGCCACACAACCCCCAUUUUUGUCGAAAAUAGCCAUGAACGACCAUUUUCAAUAAUACCAAAGGCUAACACCUACAGAUUUUUGACCAAGAAAUGGUCUCCACCAGAAAUCCAAGAAUGUGACCUAUGGCAAGGAAGCAUAUGUGGGGUGAGGUGUACGAGCCUUUGGCCGAUGAUCAAUGGCCACACAACCCCCAUUUUUGUCGGAAAUAGCCAUGAACGACCAUUUUCAAUAAUAUCGAAGGCUAACACCUAUGGAUUUUUGACCAAGAAAUGGUCUCCACCAAAAAUCCAAAAAUCUAAUCUAUAGCAAGGAAACAUAUGUGGGGUGAGGUGAACGAGCCUUUGGUCAAUGAUCAAUGGCCACACAACCCCCAUCUUUGUCGAAAAUAACCAUGAACGACCAUUUUCAAUAAUACCGAAGGCUAACACCUACGGAUUUUUUACCAAGAAAUGGUUGUGGGGGACAGAUAUCCCCUUAUCCACCGGAAGGAUAAAAGACCUCACGAAAAGCCCGUGGGCCCAAUAAUUCGCGAGGUCAUCCCUUCGUGGGCCUGGGAGGAACGUCCAAUAAGGCGGAUUGACACAAGACUGGAUCAACACAGGCCCAGACGGCCCGAUGGAUUUGAGCAGUGAUCGCAACAGUGACCCGACCUUCCCGCGCAGGGGCCCCGUACAUCGGAACCGAGCGAGGAUGAGUCGGCUGAAUUAUAGGAAGAUAGACUCAGUUAGUUCACUAUUACUUAGGCACACGUUGUUAUCAUAUCCACAUGUAAUGCCCCACGGUCGAGUAUAUAAGGCCUAGGGGGCACCCCUUCAAGAAGAGAGACCUCAUUAUUUAGCCACCCACAUCGGCUCUCUACGUUUCCAAUACUAGAGAAGCUCCUUGUAACCCACCACAUAAAGUACCCACACCAGGACGUAGGGUGUUACGCAUCUCAAAGCGGCCCGAACCUGUACACAACUGUCCACUAUCUCUCAUGCAUUUAGCACGAACCAUCGAGCUACAGUCGAUAACACCGUCCUACUCCAAAAAGCACCUUGAGGGGCAACCCCGAGUGCACGGUCGGACCCAAAACACCGACAGCUGGCGCGCCAGGUAGGGGGGUGUCAUCGAUCCAAGCUAGCUCAAUGGCCGUCACCUUCCAGCACAAGAUCAUCCUCCGCCCCGGGUCCGUGUUCUGCUUCGGGACUAUUUCAUCCGUAGCAGAUGAAGAGGGAACUCUGCACCGCAUCACGGAUCCACUGGAGAGAAAAUCUACCUCAAAAAUCUUCGAGAAAAUCGGAGCAAAGCAGGGAAAGGCGCAACCUCCAGCGCUCCGAGAAAAGAUCACCUUCAGCGAGCUAGGAGCCGAGGGUCCGUCAACCCGGAGAACACCACUGUCCACCUCUCCGACGGAAAAAUGGACACGGGUCACAAGGAGGAAAGAAGCGAAUGAGGCCAAGGGUCAUCAAGCUGCUCUUUCUGUGCCUCCAUCCUCAAAGGAGGACAGAAAGAAGAUCGUCGCGACAGCUGCGCCAUUGUACCCCGACGUCCUCUUCAUCGGGGGAAGAGUGGAAUCGAAUCCUAUCUCCGACGAUGAACCAACCGCACCAGGAGAGGAACCUCUUCAUCGGGAGUCUCGCCAACGGAGGAACCAACGCUGAAAUAUUCGGCGGCAUCACGAAGCCAGAGAACGGGAUCCGGCGCAGCCCGUAUCACGAGACGAGGUCUCAGAAGUAGGAGAAACUCCAGAAGAAUGGGUCCUCAGAGAAAGAAGGAACUCUCGACGACAUGACUGUCGGCAGGCUCAAGAACAGACUGAGCAGGAAACGAGGCAACAUUGACAAAAUCCACUCUUUGGGUGCAACCUGAACCCCGACUUCGCCUGAGCCAUGAAGACGCCGAGUGAAGUCGGUGGAGUGUUGGCUCGGAUAGCUGAUGGCCUCCCUCGGACUCCCGACGCCGAGGGCUAUCGGCGGCUGUUCACUCAAGCAGCCAACCACCUUCUACCCCUCGCUCAUCCGCCGAACGAUCUACGACACGCCAUCAACAGUUGGCGGGACGCACGGAGCUCCAUCAAUGCUUCGCGUGAACGACGACACGAGAACGAGAUCCAUCGUCGGGAAGAGUACGACCGGGAUCACGACAUCCUAGCACAGAGUCAGGCUACCAGAACCGAGUCGGCCACGGCUUCAACUGGUGGCACCACCCGGGGAUGGUCGAGGCACCACGACAACCACUCCCCUCCCCGGGAAAGACAUCAUCACCGACGACAAGAAGACAGUUGUGGAGUAUCGGCGCUUACUCCACGCCUCAGGGCCAUUCGAUGGCCCCCUAACUUCAAGGUAUCCAAUGUCGACAAAUAUGAACCUAAGCAGGAUCCGGGAGGCUGGCUGGCCAUCUACACCACCGCCGCCCGAGCCGCUGGGGCAACCGAGGAUGUGAUGACCGCAUACUUGCCUAUCGUCCUUGGGCAAGAUGCACUGCAAUGGCUGCGACACCUACCCCAACACUGCAUCGACGACUGGAGCAACUUCAGUUGGUGCUUCACCGCCAACUUCCAAUCUCUCUCUGACAAACCAACGCAACCAUGGGACCUGAAAUCCAUCAAGCGCCGGGGGGGACGAAACUCUCCGGUCAUACCUCAUAAGAUUCCAGACCAUGAGAAAUCGUAUCCCCGAGGUUGCGAAAGCAGCAGUGAUCGAGGACUUCUACCGGGGGUCCAAUGACUUGGCCUUCAUCCGAGCCAUACUACAAAAGGCGCCGACCACUUCUGAGCAGCUAUUCCGAGAAGCCGACCUCUACAUCACCGCCGAUGAACGAGCUCUAGACCUCAUCGGAGGAGCAAAGCCUGCACCGACAGCACCGCGACGCGACAUGAACCAGCAACCCAACAAACGCUGGGAGAAGAGGCCUCGUGAAGAGGUCCACGCCGCUGGACCGCCCGCCUCGCGCGCUCGAGGAGGACCUCGUGGAGGCGAACGCACGCUGGACGACAUCCUCGACGCCCAAUGCCUGUACCACAAGGACAUGUGCCACACCCUCUGGAACUGCAGAGACUUCAAGCACUCCGUGGGGAACGACCGACCCUUCCAACCUCUACCUCCUCCCUCGCCGCGAGGAGGACCAGGAGAGCCGCGACAACCCCAGCAGCAGGAGGAGGGAGGAGGUGGAGCUUUCCCGCACGUUGACAGAGAAGUCAACAUCAUCUUCGGCGGACACGGGUCGCAGGAAAGCAAGAGACAAUAAAAGCUCAACGAUCGUCAAAUACUGGUGGCGGCUACCGGUCUUCCCGCCCCGUAUCGAUGGUCUGAGCACCCGAUCACCUUCACCCGGGAAGAUCAGUGGCUCAACUUUGACCACCCAGGCAAGUACCCGCUCCUCGUCGAUCCGGUGAUCCGAGAGAGCAGGGUAAAGAAGGUAUUAGUGGACGGGGGAAGCAGCAUCAACGUCACCUUCCCCUGGACGCUCCAAGGCCUGGGAUUUCCCCUCAAAGAGCUCCACGAGUCAGACACACCCUUCUUCGGCAUCGUACCUACUGAAGGAGAAUAUCCGAUGGGCCACAUCAACAUGCCGGUCACCUUCGGAACUCCAGAGAACUACAGAACCGAGUUCCUGAGGUUCGAGGUGGCGAACUUCGACUGCGGAUACAACGCCAUCAUCGGGAGUCCUGGAUUGGCGAAGUUCAUGACCAUUCUGCAUUAUACAUACAUGGUAUUGAAGAUGCCAGGACCACAAGGAAUCAUAAAUGUGUGCGCUGACUUCCAAGGCGCCGCAGAAUGUUUCCGAGUGGCCAUUCAGGCGGCCCUCACUACCAAACCAUCGACGACUUCUUCUGCUUAGGCGAACUCAAAGCCUGAGGAAGACCUCGCGGUACCCGCGAAUGAAGCUCAAGCCGUGACCUCUAUGCUGUCGACUAAAGAAACUAAGAGAAUCAAUCUGGGGUUCGCUGACGAGCGCAAAACUGCUGUCAUCAGUUCCAGCCUGGAUGACAAAUAGGAAGGCGCGCUCGUCCAGUUUUUGCAAGAUAACCGAGAGGUAUUCGCAUGGCAACCUGCGGAUAUGCCAGGAGUCCCGAGAGAACUGGCAGAGCACAAACUAAAGGUCUACCCCCAGGCAAGGCCAAUCCGACAGAAAUUACGACGCUUCACGCCCGACAAGAGAGAAGCCAUCCGUGCUGAGCUAGCUCGCUUGGUCACGACCGGAUUCAUUAGAGAGGUGUUAUAUCCUGAGUGGUUAGCUAAUCCUGUUCUUGUACUCAAAAAGAAUAAAGUGGAUUGGCGCAUGUGCGUCGACUAUACGGAUCUCAACAAACACUGUCCGAAGGAUCCAUUCGGACUUCCUAGAAUAGACCUGGUGGUGGACUCAAUUGCUAGAUGUUCUGUGUUGUCUUUCUUGGAUUGCUACUCUGGGUAUCAUCAAAUUAGCUUGGCAAAAGAAGACGAGGAAAAAACAGCAUUCAUCACUCCAUUCGGAGCUUUCUGCUAUACCUCCAUGCCGUUCGGCCUCAAAAACGCUGGAGCGACUUAUCAGAGAGCUAUUCAGACAUGCUUAGCCGACCAUUGGGGCAAGCGUGUGGAAGCUUAUGUGGAUGAUGUGGUGUUCAAGACAGAGAAUUCAGAAAAUUUCAUUGAAGAUUUACAGCUGGUCUUCAACAGUCUACGGCGAUACCGAUGGAAGCUUAAUCCCGAAAAAUGUGUCUUCGGAGUACCAGCAGGAAAGUUGCUCGGGUUUAUUGUCAGCCACCGGGGAAUUGAAGCCAAUCCAGAAAAGAUCGAGGCUAUCAUGAGGAUGGAAGCACCACGAUCACAGAAGAAAGUACAAAGACUUACCGGAUGUAUGGCAGCUCUGAGCAGAUUCAUAUCAAGGCUGGGAGAUAAAGGCUUACCAUUCUAUAAGUUGCUCAAGAAGGUAGACAAAUUCCAGUGGACUUCAGAAGCACAAGAAGCUCUAGAUGCACAGAAAAAAUUCUUGACAACACCACCAGUACUAAAACCGCCGCGCCGAGCCACGCCGACUCAACCGGCUGAAGAUCCGCGGUGAGCACCGUGUUGGUAGUCGAGCGAGCAGAAGAGGGACAUGCAUACCCAGUACAACAUCCUGUCUAUUUCAUCAGUGAAGUUCUGGGCCCCUCGAAGAAGAAAUACCCUCAAGUUCAGAAGUUAUUAUAUGCAGUACUUCUAACUGCACGCAAGCUCCGUCACUACUUCGAUGACCACAAAGUCAUAGUAGUCACUGGAUUUCCGAUAGGGGAUAUUCUCCACAAUAAAGAAGCCAUUGGAAGAAUAGCCAAGUGGGCCUGUGAACUGGGAUCUCAUGACAUCGAGUUUCGACCUCGCACCGCAAUCAAAACUCAAGCACUGGUUGACUUUAUAUCAGAAUGGACCGAGCAACAGGUGCCGGAUAACUCGGAAACUGCAGAAGUAUGGCAAAUGUAUUUUGAUGGCUCGUUGAAGCUGCAGGGAGUAGGUGCAGGGAUCCUCUUUAUUGCACCUGGAGGUGAACAACUCAAAUAUGCUCUCCAAUUGUUAUUUCCAGCAUCCAACAAUGCAGCAGAAUACGAAGCUCUGAUUCAUGGACUGAACAUUGCCAUAUCGCUGGGCAUCAAGAGACUGAUGGUAUAUGGAGAUUCUCUGGUGGUCAUAAGUCAGAUAAACAAAGAAUGGGAUUGCUCGAAUGAUUCCAUGGGAAAAUACUGCACUGCUGUCCGGAAACUAGAAGACAAAUUUGAAGGACUGGAAUUUCAUCAUGUGGAGAGAGAUCGCAACACGGCAGCUGAUACAUUGUCCAAGCUUGGAUCCAGUCGGGCUCAGGUCCCACCUGGAGUUUUCGUACAAGAAAUAUUGCAUCUGAGCAUUUCACUAGAUCGGGUGGAGAAAUACAAUGCUUUGAGCCAGCCAGAGUCAAAUUCUGAUGACUGGAGGGAGCCGAUCAUCAAGUACAUAAAAAAUGAGGAAGAACUAGAUGACAAAAAUGCAACAGAACGAAUUGCAAGGCAGUCAGCUCAUUAUACUCUCAUUGGGGAAAUGCUAUACAGAAGAGGCGCAUCAGGAGUCCUCAUGAAAAGCAUUCUCUCAGCCACCGAAAAGCAACUGCUAGAAGAGGUUCAUGCUGGGCAAUGCGGGAUACACGCAACAUCCAGGACCCUAGUUGGGAAGGUCUUCAGGUCGGGUUUCUACUGGCCAACAGCAAAGAGUGAUGCAGCCGAGUUAGUCCAGAGGUGCGAAGCCUGCCAAUACUUGUCAAAACAGCAACAUCUACCAGCACAACUGCAAACCAUACCUGUAACUUGGUCGUUCGCGUGCUGGGGACUGGAUAUGAUUGGAGCUUUCAAAAAAGCUCAAGGAGGAUACACUCAUGUACUGGUUGCUAUCGACAAAUUCACUAAAUGGGUAGAGUUCAAACUCAUCGCUUCUCUAACUUCAGCUAAGGCAGUGGAAUUCAUACAUGACAUAAUAUUCAGGUUUGGAAUACCGAAUAGCAUCAUAACCGACCUGGGAUCCAACUUCACAAGUUCAGAGUUCUUCGAUUUCUAUGAGCAAAAGAGCAUUCAGAUCAAAUAUGCCUCGGUGGCGCACCCAAGAGCCAACGGGCAGGUAGAAAGAGCCAACGGGAUGAUAUUGGAAGCGCUCAGAAAGAAAGUCUUCGACAAGAAUGAAAAGUUCGCAGGAAAGUGGAUCAGAGAGCUGCCGUAUGUUGUUUGGAGCCUGAGAACUCAACCUAGUCGAGCUCUGCAUGGAAACACACCUUUCUUUAUGGUCUAUGGUUCGGAAGCAGUGCUACAUGCUGAUCUCAAGUUUGGGGCACCAAGGUUAAUCUUUGAAAACAUAGUAGAAGCUGAGGCUACUAGGCUUGAGGAUGUCGAUGUACUAGAAGAAGAACGAUUGAAUACAGUGAUUCAGUCAGCCCGAUAUCAGCAAAAUCUAAGACGCUAUCAUGACAAGGCCAUACGACAUCGAUCCUUCGUAGUGGGAGACCUCGUCCUCCGCUGAAUUUGAACGGGGGAAGGACGGCACAAACUGUUGCCUCUAUGGGAAGGACCAUUCAAAGUAGCAGAAGUCACUCGGCCUGGAUCAUAUUGUCUCACUCAAAUGGACGGCACGGAAAUUGGGAACUCAUGGAACAUAGAAUAUCUCAAGAAGUUUUACCCCUAGCUAUAUCUCAAAAGCUAUUGGGACGACAAUGUAUUCUGUAAACUGGGAAAUAUAUCAUCAAUAAAAAUACUUCAAAGGCACUCGAAUUGUUCACUGUCAACCUGCAUGCUUACUUAACUCGGGGUGACCACUAUACCCUACUAACGGAGCAAUCGGCUUAAGUCGGCAAUGACUUAAGGCGGUGCAACAUGCUCACGCUUACUUAACUCAGGGUGACCAUAUACCCUACUAACGGAGCAAUCGGCUUAAGUUGGCAACGGCUUAAGGCGGUGCGACAUGCUCACGCUUACUUAACUCGUGGUGACCACUAUACCCUACUAACGGAGCAAUCGGCUUAAGUCGGCAAUGACAUAAGGCGGUGCGACAUGCUCACGCUUACUUAACUCGGGGUGACCACUAUACCCUACUAACGGAGCAAUCGACUUAAGUGGCAAUGACUUAAGGUGGUGCGACAUGCUCACGCUUACUUAACUCGGGGUGACCACUAUACCCUACUAACGGAGCAAUCGGCUUAAGUCAGCAAUGACUUAAGGAGGUGCGACAUGCUCACGCUUACUUAACUCGAGGUGACCACUAUACCCUACUAACGGAGCAAUCGACUUAAGUCGACAACGACUUAAGGCGGUGCGACAUGCUCAUGCUUACUUGACUCGGGGUGACCACUAUACCCUACUAACGGAGCGGUCGGUUUAAGUUAGUAAUGACUUAAAUCGGCACGGCACACUCGCGCCUACUUAAUCCAACACAAGCACGUUUGCAAUUACUCAUCUUAGGGCGACCUCUAUGCCCCGCGAAGAAAUUCCAUACUGCAUUUACUUCUGUGAUUGUAGAUAUUGUUGUAUUCUAACAAUGGGAAAACAAUAGCGACAUUCAGUACUAAAAAGUGUUUUUCUAACAAAAUAUCCGAGCACACUAACCACAUAUUCAAAGCAUUCAGUGUUUCUAUUUGGUAAUGUUCUUCUCAGGAGCAACCGACGAAGAGGGACGACUCGAGGAAUCAGGAGCGGCAUUCACAUCUGCCACUAUGUCGUCAGGAACAACCACGCUGGGUCUCCUCAUCAGGAUCCGCCCCGCGUGAAUAGCUUUGUCCAUAGCUUUGUCGCGCUGGGCCCUCAGAGUAGCAGAAGUCUCUUCAGCAGCCUUGAAAGCCAACCGAGCAGUUUCUAGCUCCUGAACGACUGAUUUCUUGGAGGCACGCAGAUCCUUGAUGAUAGUAUCCUUGUUCGACACCAACUGCCUGAGGCGAAUCAUAUCAUCCAAGGACUCUUGCAGCUUAUAACGAUGAUUAUCCAAAUCUUCCAUGGUGAAGCAAUGACUCCUCUCCAAGAUGGUCAACGAGUUGCUGGCGUCGCGAUAUAGCUUGUCAAGGUUGUCGCGAGAAGUGGCAAGAGCACGUUUUUCCUUCUGCAGACAAGAAUCAGUUUCUCCAACAUCAAGCAAGCACUAAGAACACAGCAGAUAAAGCCAAGUAAAGCUUAAUUCACUGGUCACCUUUUCAGAGUCGAGCUGAGCAUGGAGAGUGGAGUUCAGCGUGUUAGCAUCAUUCAGAGAAGCAGAAACCCGGGCCAGUUCAGUCUGACCUUGAGAAUAUUUUUCUUCAAGAUCAGAGUACCGUCGAGCCAUAUUUGUCAAGAAAUAGUCAAGCAAGGGUGUUCAGCUAAAAAGCAGAUUAAUCAAGUAGCCAAAUAAGAAACAAAGAGCACUAACCAGCAUUUGCCAUCUCCAAAUCAGAUACACGCCGCUGAAGCAGCACUGAAUUCCAAUGCGUCAAAGAUAGAGCUCUUUCCGGGACAGAAGCACCCUGCGACCUCAGCUGACCAACCAUUUCAUCGACCAAUGCCUGACAUUAAAAACAAAUGAGUGUAAGAACAAUAUCACACCCGGGGUACAACCAGAUCAGGAAAAACCAAAUUACCUGGAGGUUGGAGAAGAACGAAAGAACUCCCAAGUCGUGGGAAAUUAGUUGAUGGCUCGAUGAAGGAUCAACACCCGGAGCAACCCGCAAUGCAUCAGUGGCGACCAAGUCAGUGUCAAUAGCAGAAAUCAAAACUCUGUCAUCAGGAGCACCGGCCUCUAAGGCGACUUCCUGACCCGAAGCUUGAGCUGCUGCCACGCAACCAGAAUGCGGAGGAGAAGAUCCUAUGUGAACAUCCAUGGAAGUGUGGGAGGGAGAACCAACUCGGACACCCUCGGGGGCUGGGUCAUAGCUCGCGCUACCCAUCCGAGCCGGAUCAUCACCGGCGACACCCUCGGGGGCUGGCUAAGCGCUAGCGCCAUCCUUGAGGGCCGAGCUCUCUGCAACGACCACCUCUAAGGCUGAAGGACCUUCACCCACUUCCAUGCGAGCAGAACAAUCCAGACCAGCCUCCUGACCCUUAAGACUGCGCUCUAAGGUCGAUGAGGCACGAGACGCUGCUCGAGAUAACUCCAACCCGACAUCAGGCACAUCAGCGCAAUCGUCCAUCAUUCCACCAUCUGCCAGCUCUGACAACAGAUCUUUUGGGACCAUGUCUUCAAGAGUCUGAUCAAAGUUUGCCAGAGACAAUUCUUGCAGACCAAUGAGGGCAGACAAAGCUGGAGAAGGAACACCACUACUUUCCCUGCUAGCUAUGUAGCGUCGGCUGUUCUUCCGAAUUAGAGGGACUUCAUUCUCCUCUUCCUCAUCUUCAUCAAUAAUGCGGACGGUACACCCAUUGGGAUCACCUAUGGCCAGAUUACACCCAUUGGGAUCAGCAUCAUCAAGGUCACACCCAUUGGGAUCAGCAUCAGUCAGGUCACACCCAUUGGGAUCAGCUGUGGCCAGAUUACACCCAUUGGGAUCAGCAUCAUCAAGGUCACACCCAUUGGGAUCAGCAUCAGUCGGGUCACACCCAUUGGGUUCAGCUUCAGCAAAAACUGGCAUCAGCACUUCCCCAGCAGCAGGAGCAGAAGGACCGGCAUCCUGAUCCAAGCAUGACACUUGGCGAAGAUGUCUCUUUUUCUUUUUCUUCCCCUCAGCAGGACAAGUUGGUUGAGUGGCUCAGCGAGGACGCUUCGGGCGAACAAUAUCAGACCUCUGAAUAUCCAAAGCUUUGCCAGCCUCUGGGAUGGGUGCUACAGCCAUUGUUUUAGCAGGGGCUGCAUCAGAGGAAUCUUCAGCCAACAUAUCCAGCAUGGCACUUAUCUCUGCAUCACUUGGAUUCAAAGGUACCUCGAAAUGAACCUGCCUCUCGUCGUCAGGGAUUUCACCAAGUGAGGCAACCAAAGCACUAACCUCUUCGGGAGAGAGUCGCACUCUAAGGCCCAAACCGCUAUCACCAGUAGGACGAUUUGACACAAAACUGGUAGAAGCCUUGGAAGGAGGUAGAUUCCAGGCUGAGUAUGCAACAGGAGCACCGAUGUUUGACACCUUGCCUCUGAGUAUCAUCUCGAGCCGGCUGACCAAAUCCACAGCAGGAAUUCUUCUCUUGGUAACCCGGGUCGAAUCAACGAGGCCUCGAUACAGAUAAGCCGGGUAUGCUCUGUCCUUUAGUGGCUGAAUGUUCUUGAAAAUGAAAUCGGCGACCACAGCUUCUGCAGUCAGACCCCUCUCUUUCAACAAUCCAACCUCAGCAAGCAGAGCCCCUGCCUCAGCCACCUCCAGGUUUGUGGGGGAUUCGGUCCAGCUCGGAGUGCGAACAUCUGGCUGUCUCCCUGACCGUGGGGGGAGGGAUAUCCCGUGAUUCUCCACGACAAACCAUUCCAGGCGCCAUCCUUUGAUGCUGUCCUUGAGUGGGAUGUCGAGGUAGUCGGUCUUCCUCCCACGGCGCAUCUCCAAACUCGCGCCCCCACAAGUUGGUGCUGCCCUCCGGCCAUCCCAGGCUGACAGUGAUACAAGUACUUCCAUAGGCCGAAGUGUGGCAGAAUACCAAGGAAAGCUUCACAUAAAUGAACAAAAACGGAAACUUGCAGAAUGGAAUUGGGAUUCAGAUGGGUCAGAUUCAAGUGAUAGAAAUCAAGGAGACCGCAGAAGAAAGGAGAAAUGGGAAGAGCAAGGCCGCGGAUGAGAAAAGGAACAUAAAUGACGGAUUCGUGGGUGUCUUCUGUCGGAACAGUGACCCCAUGGCAAAGCCGCCAAGAACAGAGCUCCUUCGGAAGAAGAACUCCGAUGGAUACGAAAUGGAAAAGGUCGGAUUCAGAGACGACAGACAUGUGGUUACCUGCGAAGGGCAACUGACUGUUGGGAUCGAUAGGAGGAAUGAUUGCGGCAGACGAACUCUGGCCUUUCCGCUUGGGCGCCAUCUCAACCUUGCUGGCGAGCAGAGCGGAGGCCAUAUUGCAAGAGAGCAGAGAAAGCCUGGAUGCAGAAAAGCAAAACUAGGGCACAGAAUGCAGAGGCAUGCGACAGCGCAGUACAUAUGGGGUUUUCCCGGGCCAGACGCCAAUUCUAAAAAGCGCCCAGUCAUCACCCAACCGUUAUUUCUAAAACGCUGGCGUGCCAUGUCAUCACUCGACCGUUAUUUCCAAAACGGCCGACGUGGCCUAAUUUAACUCAGCUGUUAUUUCUAAAAACACCGACGUUACCAGACUUCACUCGGCCACUGUUUCCAAAGCGGCCGACGUGGCCCGUUAUCACUCGGCUGUUACUUCUAAAAUGCCAACGUCGCCAGCAGUCACUCGGCUGUUAUUCCUAAAGCAGUGACGUGGCUUCUAAGGAUUUGGUUGUUACAUCUAAAACGCCGACAUCACUAGUAACCGCUUGGUCGUUAUUUCUAAAACACCGACGUGGCCCGUUAUCACUCGGCUAUCACUUCUAAAAGCGCCAACAUUGCUGAUAAUCACUCGGUUGUUAUUCCUAAAGUGACAACAUGACUCCAAAAGACUCGGCCGCUACCACUAAAGCGCUGACAUCGUGAAGAAGGCAGUCUGAAGCGCGACUCGACGAUUCUAAGUCGCUACUCAAGCAUUACAUUCAGAAACAACAUCUGCAGUAAACAUUAAUACGAUCGACGAUUGACAGGAAGGCAAAAUGGUGCACACGGAAUUGGGCGAAAUCAUUCUUCAUUAUAAGGGAAGCACUACCGAACUUACAAAUCAACUCAUUAUGAGUUGAUAUCAUCCCCAUUACUACAUCAUAUUUCACUACACUAUACUACUAACUAUUACUACAUUAUUUCACUAAUACUACUUCUACUACUAAUCUAUACUAACAUUUAAAACCAGUGGCGUCUAGCCACUGGCCUUGCUGCUGCCCUUGUUGCUGCCCCUGCUGCUGCCCUUGCUGCCAUCGCCGCCAUCGCCGCCGCCACCUUUGCUGCCGCCGUCACCGCCCUUGACGCCGUCACCGCCGCCGUCACCAUCACCUCCGUCGUCGUCGCCGUCACCGCCAUCACCAUCGCCGCCCUCCUCGGACGAGUCUGAGGAGUUCUCCUUAUCCGAGGAGUACUCCGACUCAUCCGAGCCCUCGAGCCCGGUGCGCUUGAUGGCCCAGAUGUAGGUCCACACCUCUGCGGCGAUCCCUUGGGAGUCGUCUGAGUCAUCAGACGACGCCGGGGGAGAGGCAUGGAUCGAUGAGCCCUCGGACUCGGAGGAGAACUCCUCCUCCGAGUACUCCGAGUCGCCGAAGUCCUCCGAGGGAGGAGUCGGCUCACGCUUCCGCUUAACACCGGAGUGAUGCGAAGAACUACCACCCUUCUUGCUCUUGCCCAUGGUGGAGUAGAAGGAAAAAGAAGAAAGUAAACAGCGAGCAACAGUAAGAGAUGUGAAAAUGCCGAAGAAGCAAGAACACUAUUUAUAGAAGAAGAAGGCAACCGCUCACCUCCUACCACGGCCACUGAACAGUCGCAAAAAUUCAAUAUGCAAUUCAAACCGUCUGGAGACACGUCAGGCGGCUGACGCCGUUCCACGUAACACGACACCCAUUGGGACUUCAGUCAACUGCUUGGGCGAUAUGAUUACACCCGCGGUCACAUCAAGCUACUACUUAGAAGCAGUUUGCUAAACACUCAGUGCAUCAAGCCGUCCCUUGCCAACACCCAUUGGGGGGGACGUCCAGGAAUUUUUAAUAGAUUUUCCCAAGCAGUCACAUCCAUACAGUAUACGCAAUGAAUACCUCAAGAUAGAAGGAGGAUAUCAAUAGAUAUUAGAGGAAAGCCAAAUAUAGCCAAUGAGGUACAAGUCUAAUCGACAGAAGCAUUGAAGCACGAAGUGAUAUGAAGACUAGCCAAAGGCCAUCUAUCGAACGUCCAAUCAGUCGCAGAUCAAAUAAAUUGCCAGACCUAGCAAGAUAUGGACAGAUCGCGUACUCGGCUUCAAAGACAAAAAUGUAUGCUGACCUCUAAAGCAUAACGUUAAUGAUAUAAUGCUGAUCUCUAAGGCAUUCGACAAAAGAAAAGGAUGAUUUCUAAGAAAAAAAGAGACACCAUGAGAUGAAGACCUUCGAGCGGAUUAUUUUCAAAAAUCCACUCAAAGCUCGGGGGCUACACCCAUUGGGUGCACCUUCGGUGCACCCAAUGAAUCAUCUACCCCGAAAGGCAGAAUGCUGACCUCUAAAGCAUACGGCAAAACUAAGGCAAGACUGACCUCUGAAAAAGCACAAGUGGAAGAUAAAAGUGAUUUCUGAGAGGACUUGAAAUGAAGACCUUCGAGUGGAUUAUCUGCAAAAAUCCACUCGAAGCUCGGGAGCUACACCCAUUGGGUGCACCUUUGGAGCACCCAAUGAACUUCAAAGUUCUACAGUGCAAAAUGCUGACAUCUAAAGCAUGAACCUGAGACAGAACACCAAAUUUCGAGGAGUAAUAGCGGAAGAAGACAGUAAAAGAUCGUUUUUACCGGAUCACUCAGAGUUCAGAAGUAGUGACUCGGCAGGCUUAUUUCCAAGGCAUUUCUUGUUGAAAUCAAAGACUGCAAGCUGGACCUAGGAUCUUUGGGCCGGUUAUUUCAAAAUCAACCCAAAGAUCGGGGGCUUGUGGGGGACAGAUAUCCCCCAGGUCCACCAGAAGGAUAAAAGACCUCACGAAAAGCCCGUGGGCCCAAUAAUUCGCGAGGUCAUCCCUUCGUGGGCUUGGGAGGAACGUCCAAUGAGGCGGAUUGACACAAGACUGGAUCAACGCAGGCCCAGACGGCCCGAUGGAUAUGAGCAAUGAUCGCAACAUUGACCCGACCUUCCCACGCAGGGGCCCCGUACAUCGGAACCGAGCGAGGAUGAGUCGGCUGAAUUAUAAGAAGAUAGACUCAGUUAGUUCACUAUUACUUAGGCACACAUUGUUAUCAUAUCCACAUGUAAUGCCCCACGGUCGAGUAUAUAAGGCCUAGGGGGCACCCCUUCAAGAAGAGAGACCGCAUUAUUUAGCCACCCACAUCGGCUCUCUACGUUUCCAAUACUAGAGAACCUCCUUGUAACCCACCCACACCAGGACAUAGGGUGUUACGCAUCUCAAAGCGCCCCAAACCUGUACACAACUAUCAACUAUCUCUCGUGCAUUUAGCACGAACCAUCGAGCUACAGUCGAUAACACCGUCCUACUCCAAAAAGCACCUUGAGGGGCAACCCCGGGUGCGCGGUCGGACCCAAAACACCGACAAUGGUCUCCACCAGAAAUCCAAGAAUGUGACCUAUGCCAAGGAAACAUAUGUGGGGUGAGGUGUACGAUCCUCUGGUCGAUGAUCAAUGGCCACACAACCCCCAUUUUUGUCGAAAAUAGCCAUGAACGACCAUUUUCAAUAAUAUCGAAGGCUAACACCUACGGAUUUUUGACCAAGAAAUGGUCUCCACCAGAAAUCCAAGAAUCUGACCUAUGGCAAGGAAACAUAUGUGGG
rnacentral:lncRNA from 1 species